CAUAUUUUGUUUUCUAGAAAUAACAACAAGUUUAGAGAGCUUUUUAGGGCUACGGUUUUGUAGAAACCCAAUAAUUAUAUUUUGAUUAUCGACUAAUCAAAGUACGAUUUAGAGUGUUUAUGUCUAGUUUUUGUUGACGUCAAUUUAGCUUAAUAACAUAUUAAGUUUGUACAAGCCAGAUGAGUUGCACUUAGAAUACUUUUCUUUUUUUGGCUGGAAAUGUGGUAGACUUUCUCUUCGACACCUACAGUCCAUGUCAUGCUUUUGUUUAGUAAUUCUUGUUAGGGGUAUUUUCGAAAUGAUUUGUGAUAAAACUCUUAAGGCUUAUCCAUCUGAGAAAUUUUGAUACUUGGUCAUUGUGAGAGAAUACCCAGAAAGAACCGACAAGAAACUCGGGUGAGGAGAAGAAGAAAAAUCCAACUUCGAGCGUCAAAAACUGUUACCCAAAAAUUCUAUGAGCCUAAGCAAUUGAAAGUGAUGUAUUUGGUAUUCUGAAGUUUGUCGAUCGAUAAAAAAUUUAAGAAUGAAAGAAAUGGAUUUCUUAUGUUCUUACUGAUUGAAGAUUGGAGGUGUCUUCGGAUUUGAUAGGCGGGCUACGGAGGUUAAGGUUUGAGUUGUGAGUUGAGGUAGGAACUUACAUUACUCUUUUGUAUCUAUUAAUGUCUUUUUACAAAAAUAUAUUUAUGCACUUAAACAAACUCAUGCAUUGUUGGAUUUUGAUUGCCUAAAACCCUGUUGAUUCUUUUGGCUUUUUCUUUACUUGGAAAGGACCUGAAAUGUUUGUUUGUCUGUAUGAGUAUUCUGGGAAAUAAGAAUUUCCAUCUGUGGUAUAUAUGAUACUGCUCCUUCAUUUAUAACUACUUUCUUUCGUGCUUUUAUGAUGUGGCUAGGGCGAUACACCGCAAUAUUACCUAUUAGGUGCUGGAAUUUGGCAUUGAAUAUUAUACAUUGUUUGAAUAAGGAGUUAGUUCCAUAUACGUUAUUGUUAUGUGUGCGUUGAUCUUCUUUUAAUAUUUGGAGUACUUGAUUGUUUAUUUCAGUGAGUCAUAUGUUUAUCAAUGUCUGGAAAUUUGCAUUGUUUGAGAUUCAGCUUUGAUGAUUACAUUUGAGAAGUGUAAGUGUCCAUUGGGCUUGUUUAGCUCACUCUUCCAUCUCCUUUUAGUGGCAGGAAGUUUUAAUGUGAUUGGUGUUGACUCGUCCGAAGGAGAGAUUAAUGUUUGGGUCGAUUAGAUUGUCUUAACUUGUGUCCUUGAGAGAUCGCUGCUGGUCUCGGUGGGGCUGUGCAGUUUAUGUAACUUUUUGAAGGUGCUUUUGAGUUUUAGUUGUAAGUAAGACUCUAACUUCUAAAUUAUAUAUAUUAUAUUUAUAUAUAAUGACAAACAACACACUUGUAAAUUAGGUAGUUGUGUAUAUUAUGAACCUUUAAUGUAUAGCUUAUGUUCUUAACUUGUCUUGAAGUUAAUGGUUCAAUUUAAGAUAGUCUAGCAUCUACGUAGUUCAGUUUCCUUUUGGUCAAGUUCUUGUAGCUUUCACUAUUGAAAAAAGUCUUGUUGUAUUGUCCUUUGAUCUAAGCUAAGAAUUUUGUGUUCUGAUCACUCUUGUGUAAUCAUUUUAAUAAACUUAGCUUAAGAUAGUUAUUAUAUUAGUACUGGAUUGAAUAUCCUAAUUUUUGUUCUUGGAAAAGGGGGCUUCAAUGUUGGUAUCAGAGCCAAUUAGUAGAUCGUAAAAGGGCGCUUCAUAAAAGCUAGAAUCUAAAAGACAUCAAGAAUAAAAAUCAUACUGAGUAUAUUAGUGGUUGUUGGCUGUUGUUUGUGAGUAGUGUGCUUAUAAUGUCUUGUAAAGUUUAGAUAUUAAGAUUUAUGCUUUUGUUGCGGUGACAAAGAAUGGAAGACAAUGCUGAAAGUCAGAGUUUGGAGGGUGGAUCUGGUCAGCAAAUUAAGAGUAGUAAUAUGGAUAUAUUUAUGAAGUCUAUGGCAUAUAUGAGACAAUACCAACUGUUAUUAGAAGAAAGGCUUCGAAUUUUACCUCCAAGACAUAACUCAGGGAGUACAAAUCAUACUUCAAACCAAGGGGAUAUGAUUAUGCCGACACGAAAUCAGAAUCAACUUGGACAGUUACUUCAGCAAUAUCUAAAGAUUGCUCCAUAGGAAGUGGCAGCCCUCCAGAUCCUGAGAAGGCGGAAGAACGGUUGCAAAAUGCAGAACAUGUUUUGGAACAUGUAUCCAAUGAUAGAGGUACUUGGGUGAAGUUGGUUAUUUACAGAUUUCGAGGACCAUCACGAGAUUGGUGGAAUGCGGUAAUGAAAGCGGAAGGUGGAACAAUGACUUGGAAUAGGUUUAAAGAUUUGUUUAUAGACAAGUAUGUACCUGAUGCAGCAAGAGAUAGGAAAUUUUAUGAGUUCAUGUCUUUAACGAAGGGUGGUAUGUCCGUUAGCGCUUACAGUGAUAAAUUUACAAGGUUGUCACGAUAUUGAGCAGAGUUGAUAGCCACUUAUGAAGCUAAAUCAAAUAAAUUUAUCAGAGGAUUGGAUCCCGAGAUGCGAAAACAACUUUCGUGUUUACGAAUCAAGACUUAUGAGGAUGUUUUGAAUCGGUCUCUUGAUUAUGAAAAAGAGAUGGAAGAUCAACUUGCAACACGGGUUACAGAAAGGCCGCAACAAUUUUCAGCAAGACAAGAUCUAGCGAAGCGGCCUAUGUUAUCAGCUCCUAAUCAGACAUUUUCAGACAACCAAUAAGACCAUGGUCAACUGGAUCAACAUCAGUACCACCUAUAACACAUCCACCUACGGUUAGACCUCAAGGAAGGUGGGUACGUUUCCAGCAAGUAUGUCCGGCCGCACCAACAAGUUCUAGUUUGGGUUCCUUCAAAUGUUAUGCCUGCGGUGAAGGGGGUCAUCUUAGGAGAGAUUUCCGAAAGAACCCAUCAGCAGAGUUAGCCCAACAAGGAGCGGUAUAUGCAAUGGAUCCAGUAGUAACUUCUAAUCAAGAAACAUCAGAAGAGAGUCAAGUGUUUUAAACAAUUGUAGAAGGGGAUGGUUCAGCGACUGAUCAAGUGGUUGAAAGUAAAAUUUAAUUAUUCAAUCAUCUAAUUCAUGUGUUGAUGGACAUUGGUUCUACUAAAUCAUUUAUUAAUCUAAGUAUAACAACUGAACU